CAAAUUAAGGCUUAAGUAGCAUUGUUAUUUACAUUAACAUGGUAGUUGUGCAAUUCAACUUAAUUUGA
rnacentral:tRNA from 3 species